UAGAAAAGACAGCAAUCGAUCUUUCUCUCAACUCUCCUAUGAGCUUCCUAGUCCCUUAUAUGAUCUUUCUACAAAUGUUGCAAGAUUUGCAACAGGGGUUUUCACUGAUAAAGAAACAGUCACUCUUUUAGGUGCUCAUAGUACUGGAAUGAUUCACUGCAAGUUCUUUGAAAAAAGACUAUACAACUUUGGUGGAACAAAUAAACCAGACCUAUCAAUGGAUUCUUAAUUUCUUGAAUUAUUAAGAUCAUUAUGCAACAACUGAUCCAAUCACCAUCAACAUGACCAUCACCAUCACCUUCUUCAUCAAAAACUAGAAGGUAGCAGGGAAUGAAGAUGGAUUAUGAAGGAAAAGGUUCAAGUUUUGGGAACUCUUUGACUUUUUCCGGAUGCUUUUGUUCUAGUUUAUAACCGUUAGAUUCUACUUCUGCACCAUGUUAACACUUAACAGUGAUCACUGUGUACAUAUUCGUGAAGUCAUUUGGUCAAAGGGUACUCUUUUUUCUCUCUCUAGAAUAAUCAC